CAGUUGGUAGCUCAGUGGUAGAGUGCAUGCUUUGUGUGUAUGGUUCGAAUCCCAGCUGC
rnacentral:tRNA from 1 species